rnacentral:rRNA from 1 species
AAUGAACGUUGGCGGCAUGGAUUAGGCAUGCAAGUCGAGCGAGAAGGGUUUUGAAGCUUGCUUUAGAACCCGGAAAGCGGCGAAAGGGAGAGUAACGAGUAGUUAUCUACCCCAAGGCCCGGAAUAGCUGCGGGAAACUGCAGGUAAUGCCGGAUAAUAUCCCCGGAUCAAAGGUGUGAUUCCGCCUUGGGAGGAGACUGCUUUGUACUAGCUUGUUGGUAGGGUAAUGGCCUACCAAGGCUACGAUGCAUAGCGGGCGUGAGAGCGUGGCCCGUCUCACUGGGACUGAACCACUGCCCAGACACCUACUGGUGGCUGCAGUCGAGAAUCUUCGGCAAUGGGCGAAAGCCUGACCGAGCGAUGCCGCGUGCGGGAUGAAGGCCCUCGGGUUGUAAACCGCUGUCGUAGAGAAGAAAGGUCUCGUGAAGAGCGAGAUUUGAUCUAUUCUAGGAGGAAGUCGGGGCUAAGUUCGUGCCAGCAGCCGCCGUAAUAC